GGUGGGGGUAUAAAGAUAGAGGAGGAUUAGCAUGAGGGAUGGUGCACAGCCUGUGUUUCUGCCAUUUUCUCAAUUUUUUUGCGUCCAAUUUCAUCACCAUCACCUCUUCAUGAUAGCUUUGUUGGUUUUUUUCUUCGUUUUUAAUACUUCCUGUAUGUCAGCGUAUGUACUUCCUGUAUGUCAGGGUGUGUACUUCCUGUAUGUCUGCAUGUGUGUAGGAAUAGGGAAGCCAAGUUGGUGGACCUACAUGAAAAACUGACAAUAGGCUUCCUUAGUACACCUGUAUUUCUGUGUCGUCUGUCUCUCUCUUUGUUGUCUAUAAGGGCAUCUGUGGUGGAACAAUCUACCUUUUGCCAUUUUGUGUAAAUGCAUUGACAGCAAUUGAUAAGUACAGUGUUGUGUGUGUGUGUGUGUCUAUCAUUAUGUCCGUCAUGUUAUGACAGUAGGCAGGUUGUGAGAAAGAACAUGUCAGUGAUAAUAAGCAGUGCACUCAGAUUAUAAACAAUAACGCCAUCUUUUCUAGUCAUCUAAAUCAAUGUGUAAACCUGUAUUUUCAAAAAGCGGUUUAAUAAAAAAUAAACUCAUCAUGAUGGUU